rnacentral:rRNA from 1 species
UACGGGGGGGGCAAGCGUUGUUCGGAAUUACUGGGCGUAAAGGGCUCGUAGGCGGCCAACUAAGUCAGACGUGAAAUCCCUCGGCUUAACCGGGGAACUGCGUCUGAUACUGGAUGGCUUGAGUUUGGGAGAGGGAUGCGGGAAUUCCAGGUGUAGCGGUGAAAUGCGUAGAUAUCUGGAGGAAUACCGGUGGCGAAGGCGGCAUCCUGGGACCGAGAUUGACGCUGAGGAGCGAAAGCUAGGGGAGCAAACGGGG